rnacentral:rRNA from 1 species
AUUGAACGCUGGCGGCGUGCCUAACACAUGCAAGUCGAGCGGUAACAGGUGUAGCAAUACAUGCUGACGAGCGGCGGACGGGUGAGUAACGCUUGGGAAUCUGCCUAUUAGUGGGGGACAACCCGGGGAAACUCGGGCUAAUACCGCAUACGCUCUACGGAGGAAAGCCGGGGACCGCAAGGCCUGGCGCUAAUAGAUGAGCCCAAGUCGGAUUAGCUAGUUGGUAGGGUAAUGGCCUACCAAGGCGACGAUCCGUAACUGGUCUGAGAGGACGACCAGUCACACCGGAACUGAGACACGGUCCGGACUCCUACGGGAGGCAGCAGUGGGGAAUAUUGGACAAUGGGCGAAAGCCUGAUCCAGCGACGCCGCGUGGGUGAAGAAGGCCUGCGGGUUGUAAAGCCCUUUCAGUGGGGAAGAAAAGCCUCGACCUAACACGUCGGGGUCUUGACGUAACCCAUAGAAGAAGCACCGGCUAACUCUGUGCCAGCCGCCGCCGUAAU